AAGUCGUAACAAGGUUUCCGUAGGUGAACCUGCGGAAGGAUCAUUAACGAAUAUCUAUGGCGUUGGUUGUAGCUGGCUUCUAGGAGCAUUUGUGCACACCCGUCAUUUAUAUCAUCUUUCCACCUGUGAACUAUGUGUAGGUCUGGAUACCUCUCGCUUUGGCAACAAGGCGGAUGCAAGGAUUGCUGUCCGGCUCUCUUUGAAUUUCCAGGUCUAUGUCUUUUACACACUCCAUUUGAAUGAUGUAGAAUGUAGUCAAUGGGCUUUAAAGCCUAUAAAAAACUAUACAACUUUCAGCAACGGAUCUCUUGGUUCUC
rnacentral:misc_RNA from 1 species